rnacentral:rRNA from 1 species
AACGAACGCUGGCGGCAGGCUUAACACGUGCAAGUCGAGCGCCCCGCAAGGGGAGCGGCAGACGGGUGAGUAACGCGUAUGCAAUCUACCUUUUACAGAGGGAUAGCCCAGAGAAAUUUGGAUUAAUACCUCAUAGUAUAACAUGACCGCAUGGUCGAGUUAUUAAAGUCACAACGGUAAAAGAUGAGCAUGCGUCCCAU